UAAUGGGAAAUAAUAGAAGCAAAGUGAAAUACUAAAUAUAAAUCAGCAAUCUAUAUUUAAAUCACAAAAUGUAAGAAAUCAAAAACUAGAAUUAAAAAAGCAAUGGUUAAAAAUUGAAAAAAACAAACCAGUAAAUGAAAUAAAAUCACCAGAAAAAGCUAAAUCGAGGGAAAUUGAGGGAAAGUUAAGUAAGUACAAUCUGGUAACUCUUAUGUGUGUACAAAAAUUACUCAACAAGUUUGCCAUUUUUUUUUCUUUUGAUUGUUCACUAAAUAAAUAAAAAUAAAUUACAAUUAAACACUUUGGCUUCCUGCAGGUAACCUGUUUCAACUAUAAUCAAGUUAAAUGAACAAAAUCAGUCAAGUGUGAUGAUGAUGAAAGUACAAUAAGUGUAAAUUACUGUACCAUUAAUUUCAUCGUUAGGCUGAUAUUUUUUUUUCUUGGUUACACUGCUUAAAAAGGAAACCAAAAAUGGCGCUCAAAAAAACCAAACUCUUCUAGUUUUAUCUUAUUGGUUAAAGGCUUUUACAAUGAUAAUAUCAGAUUAAGUUACUCAUUGAUAUUGAAACUCUUGGCUUUUUUUACCCACUUUUUCAUCUCUUUUUUCUCUUGUCUUGUUAUUCUUGACUAACCUGAGUUUUACCAAGAUAACCUUGGAACUCAGUGAAACCAGAAUUUUUGUUUUAUGUGUAUUUAUUCAUACUGUGAAUGGUUCAAAAAGAUAAGUAUUACUCUUUCUUGGCAUCAAAUCAUUUAGACUUUGCUACCUUAAUAUCGUUUACCUGUUUUAUCUAUAUUUCUUCUGGUAUUACAAUCAUUAGCCAAAGAUUCGCAUUCCUAAUGGUUGCAACAAUUAUUAUCACGAUGGUCACUCAAAAAUGUUUAUUAUUUCAUCAAGAAUUAUCAUGAUUUUAAAUUACUCCGUUCCUGGUUAUUCUGGUUCUGCACCAACAGAGUUUACAAAAACAAAGCUCAUUUUGAAACAUUGUUUCUUAAAGAUUUAGAGGUUUUCAACAAUAAGAUAUGCAAAGUCUUGGUCAACCGGAAUAUUUAGGACAAAAGUGAUAGGCAAUUUGCUGUAAAACAAGUUUGAAAUGGCGAUUAAGACAGUGUUAUCCGAGAAAGGCAGCUUUUAUUGUUAUUUUGUUUCUGGGUGCGUCAAAUUCCAUUGGUGUUGGAAGGAUUGAACCAGAGUUUUUGAUUGAAUAACAAUUGAGAUGGACAAAUGUAAAUGCAAAUUACCAAGUAAAUUGAAAUGGAUUGGCAGUACAUAAUUGGGAAAAAGACAGGAGAAAGAGUCUCAAUUUUUCAUCCUUGAACUUGAUCUUCAAACAAUACACUGUGAACUUGAUGAAGGAAGAGAUAGAAACGAGUAAUCAACGCAAAAAGGAGAAAAAAGGAGAAAAUGAAAGGAAAGGAGGAAAGAGAAGAUAAGAAGAGAAAGGAAAGAAAAGAAGAAAAAAGUUGGUUACUAUUGAAAAUACAACAAAUCGUUAUUUCGUUAUCAUUACAAUUGCUCAGUUACACAAUCAGAAUUAUUAUUAUUCAGCUGAAUGAAACAAAAGUGAAUAAGAGGGAGAAAUGGAGAGACAGGCAAGAGAGGAAAAAGGAUGAUAAGAAUGAUGAUAAAUAUUGCAGAAAGUGAAAGUAAAAAAAGUUGUUUGAAAGAGAAGAGAGAAAGUGAAAUUUUUCUUUUGCGUGAGUCUCAGUUGAAAUUAGGACAGCAAAUACGUUGAUUAAGGUGAGAAGGAAAGUGAAUAGGAUGAUGAUGAUGAUUAAGAAGGAGGAAAGCGGAUUGUGAACACUUGAAUCUGUCUAGGUGUGGUUCCUAAAAAUGGAUGAAUUGUAUUGAAAAGUGAGAUUAAAAUGGAAACAACAAAAGCA